rnacentral:rRNA from 1 species
GACGAACGCUGGCGGCGUGGAUUAGGCAUGCAAGUCGAACGGUAUCAUCCUUUCGGGGGUGAGAGAGUGGCGAACUGGUGAGUAACACGUAGGUUAUCUACCCUCAAGACGGGGACAACCCAGGGAAACUUGGGCUAAUACCGGAUGUGAGCAACUUUUAGUUGUUUGAAAGGUGGCGUAAGCUGUCGCUUGGGGAUGAGCCUGCGUCCUAUUAGUUAGUUGGUGAGGUAACGGCUCACCUAGGCAAUGAUAGGUAGGUGGCCUUAACGGGUGGUCGCCCACACUGGGAUUGAGAUACGGCCCAGACUCCUACGGGAGGCAGCAGUCGAGAAUAGUCUACAAUGGUCGGAAGACUGAUAGUGCGACGCCGCGUGAACGAUGAAUCCCUUCGGGGUGUAAAGUUCUUUUAUAUGUGAGCAGUGCUUCUUAUAUUAACAGUAUGGGGAGAGAGAUAUUAGCAUAUGAAUAAGCAACGGCUAACUCCGUGCCAGCAGCCGCGGUAAUCU